GGGGAUUUCCCUAGUCAGACUUCAUGGGAAAUCUGAGUCAUAUUUUAGUGACUCUUUCGCUCUCUCUCCUGGGUGUUGCCAGCCCUGAACGCCAUAUUUCCAUGUCUUUUUUCUGAUGUGAAUGAGCAAUAAAUUUAGGAUAAAGAUUAAAGACUCAUUGUGCAGCUAUAUGAUGCUGUUGCUGAUAUUUUUGUGGAGGUUUGAAUAUCAAGAUUCAAGUGAAGGAAUAAACAGACAUGCUUCUCCUCUCUAAAUCUAGUCUUUAUGCAUCAAAGAAUACCUGAUAUUUGCAAAAUGGACUCAUAUUGAAAAAAAUAACUACAUUCAUAUUAUAUCUGCAGCUGUACACAAAAAAUGAAGCCAUCUGGGAUUAUUCAGUAUCUAAGCUUUUCCUUUAUCAGCCAUGUGUGUCGUAAUACGUUGAUAUUAAUCUAGUUUUGGAUACUGAACAAGUAAACACCCGGAUGAACAGACAACACCCUUUUGAAUUCACUUUAACCGUACAUACUUUCCACGGAUGAUAACAGAAUAUAUAUUUUUAUUUUCAUAAAACAAACAACAAAGUACAUAUCAAUGUCACAAACCUCUGUGACAGAUCUGUAGACUGUGAAGGGUGUGUACUUUUAAGUGUGUGUUAUUUAACCCUCUUUUGUUCAGAGCCAGUACUUCUGUAUGGUGAGCAUAUAUACGCCCCCAGCAUUUUUUUAUGUAGUGCACAAACACACCUAGACAAAUAUACACACACACGUAGGUGUAUAGGUACCAUAGACAUGAAGAUCCAUCAGGAACGAUCAUGUCUAAAAUUAGAAUAUGAAAAGGAAAAUAUAAAAGAAAUUGCACAAAAUAAAAUCACUUUAUAAGACAUCAAAACUGAUAAUGGAAAACAAAUAUGUUGAUGUUAGCAUGUCUUUUUUUAUUGCAUUAAUCAGAGACAGAUGUGAACAGUAAUUGUGCUCUAAACUGUUAAGCAUUUAGCAAACACCCACAGACAUGUUUGAUCCCAUUUGUGGAGCUAUUGUGGGGGGAAAUGAGUGUUCUUUGUCUACGAGUUGAGAAAUAGAAAAGGAGUGGAGAAGAGGGAGAGGAGUCGAUGUGCUCAUGUCAUGUGGUAUACUGCUGACAUCUAGUGAUCAACUUCCUUAAAUAUAAUUAUAUGUUCAAAUGCCAUUUAUUAACAAAACCGGCUGCUGGAACUUUUUUCUAUAGGGCUGUGCCACUUCCAACAACUUUACGCAGACAUUCAAGCAUGAUCUAAUGUUUAACAGUUAAGUUCACACACAAUAUGUGCCUUACGGAGUACGUAGAAGAAGAAGAAGAAGAAGAAGAAGAAGAAGAAGAAGACGAGGAAGAAGAGGAAGAAGAAGAAGAAGAAGAAGAAGAAGAAGAAGAAGAAGAAGAAGACGAGGAAGAAGAGGAAGAAGAUGAAAAAGAAAACAAGUUAGUACUGUUGCCAUGACCUCGUGUGGUUGACACACCCCAGAGUCAUUCAUGGUUGCUUUGCAACGCUCUGUUUACACGGAUUUCAAACACGUCCACAUACUGUGGGUUCCUGAGGGGGAGGGGACUUGAACAUGUUAAAAUCACCAAAUGUGUCAUCAAGUUAACUAUGAUUUUAAACUCUAAGUCCUAAAAGGGUAUUUUAAUAUGUAAAUGUUAUUAUAAAAAGCCUAUACAUGUAAACACUAGCUUGUGCAUGAGGUCCAGUGAGGGUAAAAAAAAUCAUGAAUAUCCACAGAUAGGCCAAAACACAAAUGAAUGUGAUUGCUGGAAUGCAUAAAUUAUUGUUAUUGUAGAGUUAAUUCUGAGUUCAAUCAGUUUACUUAAUGACUUGUUGUGUAAAUGGUGGAUUUAGCCUAGAUAAAAAGGAUGAGAGUUGACCAACCUAUAGGCUAUCUAUUCGAAGUAGAAAGCAUUAAAAAAAAACAAAUCUUAUUUAUUUUUUUAUAUUUGUAUAAGUUACAAAUACUAAUUUCAGGAAAAUAAAAAAAUGUUUAAAUAUGUUUAUGUAUUGUGUGUAGUUCGUAAUCAAAUAAAUUUUUAUACUAAUAUUUUAACCAGUAGCUAAGAUAGAAUAAAUGCUAAUAAUUAACAAAGAGUUUUUAUCUGACUGCUCUUUGAAUGUCUAUAGAGUCCCUGUAGUACCAAUGAGUCUACCAGAAAACUAUGUUUCUAUCAGUCUGGUUGCUCUUGAAGCGGGAAUUAGUGUAAUUAGUUUCAAUUUAAAUUGAACUUUGUUGAUGCUGUGAGUGUCUGUUAGAGAUUCAGUCAUUUGUGAGAUAAGGCAAGGUUGUUCUGCAGCACUUCAGUCACCACGUUAAAUGAAACCUUUCAUCUAAGAGUUAUCAAUCAAGCAGCUCUUAUUGUAACAUGUUUUGAUGAUCACAGAGGUAAUAAAACACAGAAAAGUACACAGAACUAAACAUACAAACGUAUACAUGGUUAACCAAUUUAAUUUUCAUCUCAAGCUAGAUACAUUUUGUAAUAUGUUGUAUUUUGGGACAUCAUGCCUGCCAGGGGAAGUCGUGGCCUAAUGGUUGGAGAGUUUGACUCCUAACCCUAGGGUUGUGGGUUUGAAUCUUUGGAUGGCAAUACCACGACUGAGGUGCCCUUGAGCAAGGCCUUGAACCCCCGACUGCUCCGCAGGUGCCGCAGCAUAAAUGGCUGCCCACUGCUCCGGGUAUGUGUUCACGGUUUGUGUGUGCACUUUGGAUGUGUUAAAUGCAGAGCACAAAUUCUGAGUAUGGGUCACCAUACCUGGCUGAAUGUCACGUCACUGCAGAAAUAACAAUGCUUACCGGGUUAUUUUACUUUAAAGGCCUUGCACUUGUGAAAAGUAAAUAUAUUUUAAUGCUCAUACUUCUUAUAAGUUGUUUGUGCAAAUGAGGGAAAAAAUGGCACCCAUUUUCUAGAAUGAGUCUCACUGAAAGAAAACGGGUGACAUGACAUCUUUAUAACUUAGUAAAGAAUUGCUGAAUCCGACUCUGAACAGCAUGGAAGCAAAGGAUGACAAGAAACAACCAGUUUAUAAACAAAGUGUUUAUUUCUGUGGUGGAACUUACAGGACUCCUGUGGAUGAUUUCUUUUGUGUCUAAUGUUAAAACUUACAAAAAAAUUGAAAAUAAAAUUAACAAAAA